GAUGAAGAACGCAGCGAAAUGCGAUAAGUAAUGUGAAUUGCAGAAUUCAGUGAAUCAUCGAAUCUUUGAACGCACAUUGCGCCCCCUGGUAUUCCGGGGGGCAUGCCUGUCCGAGCGUCAUUACAACCCUCAAGCUCAGCUUGGCGUUGGGCCCCGCCGCCCCGGCGGGCCCUAAAGUCAGUGGCGGUGCCGUCCGGCUCCGAGCGUAGUAAUUCUUCUCGCUCUGGAGGUCCGGUCGUGUUCUCGCCAGCAACCCCCAAUUUUUUUCAGGUUGACCUCGGAUCAGGUAGGGAUACCCGCUGAACUUAAGCAUAUCAAUAAGCGGAGGA
rnacentral:misc_RNA from 1 species